rnacentral:rRNA from 1 species
GAUGAACGCUGGCGGCGUGCCUAAUACAUGCAAGUCGAGCGAACAGACGAGGAGCUUACUCCUCUGACGUUAGCGGCGGACGGGUGAGUAACACGUGGAUAACCUACCUAUAAGACUGGGAUAACUUCGGGAAACCGGAGCUAAUACCGGAUAACAUGUUGAACCGCAUGGUUCAACAGUGAAAGACGGUCUUGCUGUCACUUAUAGAUGGAUCCGCGUCGCAUUAGCUAGUUGGUAAGGUAACGGCUUACCAAGGCAACGAUGCGUAGCCGACCUGAGAGGGUGAUCGGCCACACUGGAACUGAGACACGGUCCAGACUCCUACGGGAGGCAGCAGUAGGGAAUCUUCCGCAAUGGGCGAAAGCCUGACGGAGCAACGCCGCGUCGGUGAAGAAGGUCUUCGGAUCGUAAAACUCUGUUAUUAGGGAAGAACAAAUGUGUAAGUAACUAUGCACGUCUUGACGGUACCUAAUCAGAAAGCCACGGCUAACUACGUGCCAGCAGCCGCGGUAAUACGUAGGUGGCAAGCGUUAUCCGGAAUUAUUGGGCGUAAAGCCGCGCGUAGCGGUUUUUAAGUCUGAUGUGAAAGCCCACGGCUCAAUUUUGGAGGGUCAUUGGAAACUGGAAAACUUGAGUGCAGAAGAGGAAAGUGGAAUUCCAUGUGUAGCGGUGAAAUGCGCAGAGAUAUGGAGGAACACCAGUGGCGAAGGCGACUUUCUGGUCUGUAACUGACGCUGAUGUGCGAAAGCGUGGGGAUCAAACAGGAUUAGAUACCCUGGUAGUCCACGCCGUAAACGAUGAGUGCUAAGUGUUAGGGGGUUUCCGCCCCUUAGUGCUGCAGCUAACGCAUUAAGCACUCCGCCUGGGGAGUACGACCGCAAGGUUGAAACUCAAAGGAAUUGACGGGGACCCGCACAAGCGGUGGAGCAUGUGGUUUAAUUCGAAGCAACGCGAAGAACCUUACCAAAUCUUGACAUCCUCUGACCCCUCUAGAGAUAGAGUUUUCCCCUUCGGGGGACAGAGUGACAGGUGGUGCAUGGUUGUCGUCAGCUCGUGUCGUGAGAUGUUGGGUUAAGUCCCGCAACGAGCGCAACCCUUAAGCUUAGUUGCCAUCAUUAAGUUGGGCACUCUAAGUUGACUGCCGGUGACAAACCGGAGGAAGGUGGGGAUGACGUCAAAUCAUCAUGCCCCUUAUGAUUUGGGCUACACACGUGCUACAAUGGACAAUACAAAGGGUAGCGAAACCGCGAGGUCAAGCAAAUCCCAUAAAGUUGUUCUCAGUUCGGAUUGUAGUCUGCAACUCGACUACAUGAAGCUGGAAUCGCUAGUAAUCGUAGAUCAGCAUGCUACGGUGAAUACGUUCCCGGGUCU